rnacentral:rRNA from 1 species
AGGACGAACGCUGGCGGCGUGCUUAACACAUGCAAGUCGAGCGGAAAGGCCCUUCGGGGUACUCGAGCGGCGAACGGGUGAGUAACACGUGAGCAACCUGCCCUUAGCUCCGGGAUAGCUCCGGGAAACCGGAAUUAAUACCGGAUAUGACCUAGGCCGACAUCGGCUGUGGUGGAAAGUUUUUCGGCUGGGGAUGGACUUGCGGCCUAUCAGCUUGUGGUGGGUAAUGGCCUACCAAGGCGACGACGGGUA